rnacentral:rRNA from 1 species
AGUGAACGCUGGCGGCAGGCCUAACACAUGCAAGUCGAACGGCAGCACAAGAGAGCUUGCUCUCUGGGUGGCGAGUGGCGGACGGGUGAGGAAUGCAUCUGAAUCUGCCCAUUUGUGGGGGAUAACCUCGGGAAACCGGUACUAAUACCGCAUACGACCUACGGGUGAAAGCUGGGGAUCUUCGGACCUUGCGCAGAUGGAUGAGCCGAUGCCGGAUUAGCUAGUUGGAGGGGUAAAGGCCCACCAAGGCGACGAUCCGUAGCUGGUCUGAGAGGAUGAUCAGCCACACUGGGACUGAGACACGGCCCAGACUCCUACGGGAGGCAGCAGUGGGGAAUAUUGGACAAUGGGCGCAAGCCUGAUCCAGCCAUGCCGCGUGUGUGAAGAAGGCCUUCGGGUUGUAAAGCACUUUUGUUGGGAAAGAAAAGCAGCCGGUUAAUACCCGGUUGUCAUGACGGUACCCAAAGAAUAAGCACCGGCUAACUUCGUG